CCCUUAGAUGUUCUGGGCCGCACACGCGCUACACUGAAGGAGGCAGCGUGUACUCCUGGAUCGAAAGAUUUGGGUAACCCGCGAAUCUCCUUCGUGCUAGGGAUUGAGGUUUGCAAUUAUCCUUCAUGAACGAGGAAUUCCCAGUAAGUGCAAGUCAUAAGCUUGCUCUGACUACGUCCCUGCCCUUUGUACACACCGCCCGUCGCUACUACCGAUUGAAUGAUUUAGUGAGGACUUCGGACUGGGACCGAUGCGGCUUUCGGGCUGCGUCGGUAUUCUGGAAAGAUGUCCAAACUGUAUCAUUUAGAGGAAGUAAAAGUCGUAACA
rnacentral:rRNA from 1 species